UACGAGAGGCCCAAACGUUAUUCGGAAUUACUGGGCUUAAAGAGUUCGUAGGCGGCGCAGCAAGUAGGGUGUGAAAGCCCUCGUCUCAACCGAGGAAUUGCGCUCUAAACUACUGUGCUUGAGGGACCUAGAGGUGAGCGGAACUGAUGGUGGAGCGGUGAAAUGCGUUGAUAUCAUCAGGAACACCGGAGGCGAAGGCGGCUCACUGGGGGUCUUCUGACGCUGAGGAACGAAAGCCAGGGGAGCGAACGGG
rnacentral:rRNA from 1 species